UCUCAAUCUCACGCCCGUCAAAACCCCUUUCUCAUUCCCUCGCUCUCCCCCUCCCUUUCUCAUUCCCUCACUCUUCGGGUUUGCAUGUGAUGAUUCCAAUAGAGAAGAUGCAGUGGCAGAGGUUCAAGGGGGUUCUAAUGGUGGACGCGGAAAGGAUUUUGGGGGCUGUCAGAUUUGGGCGAUGGCCUGACCUGAUGGGUUUGUGGGGACUACAAUGAGGGUGGAUUCGGCUUGAUUAGAUUGCAAUGGGCGACAUCUAUGGUCGAAGGUUGGAUGAGGACAGAGGUUUUCAGCGAUUGCGACUAAGGAGAGAUGGGUUUUCAGUUUUCAAUAAGGGGACGGUGGUGGGUUUCGAUGAGCGGAGAUGAUAGAUUUGAGCAGAUGUCGGAUUUGGUGAGUGAAGAUGAAGAACCGAGCUCGAGCAGUGCCAUUACUUCAGAAGGUGAUGUUAGUGGCUAUUAACAUGCUGCUAUAUCUACAUAGUAUUUGGUCUAUCAAGUUCAUCCAUAGUUCCACAAGGCAUUUGUCCACCGUGGGUACAUGUCUUUCCUUCUUCUCUUAGUCUUUUGCCUGUGUGAUUCCUAGAGAUCAUGCUUUUGUUAGAUUCUUGCAAGCAGUUUUCAUUUAUUUGAUGCUUUCUUAAAUGUAGAUGUCCUCCAUUCAGGUGAGGAUCUGCAGGUUUCUUUGCUAUAAAAAGAGUUUCAGGGGACUUGCUCUUGAAGAGGACAGUUCGUUUCAUCUGUUGCGACCAUGAAGAAAGUAUUUGAUCAGAUUAUUAGGGACCUGUUAGAAGUGCUCUUUGAUCUUUGUUUAUAAAUUAUGUAAUUUUCAUUGGUUUGGUGAUAAGUUGUUCUUGAAGUGCUUA